rnacentral:lncRNA from 1 species
AUUAUUCCUCUUUAGGUUAAUUCAAGUGGAUCGUGAUGAAGCUUGAAGCAUUAGUGAUGGUAAUUCUGCUAAAAGCUUUAAGAUUUAUUUACGCCACUCAAAAUGGGUUCGAAUUGAACAGCAAGAGGUAGCAUGUUUAGAUUUGAUUAUUUAAUCUAAGAUAUAUAAUUUUGUCAACAAACACAGUGAAAGCAGAUUUUUCCUUUCUUUCAAAUUUUGUUGUUCUUUCAUAAAUAGCUAAAUGUGAAAAAUCUUCUUCGUGUAGUUCAUUUUUUUCUUUUCUUUCACAUUUUCUGAAUUUGUUGUCUCACGCUUUGCCAGUCAUUUUCUUGAUAUUCAAGGCAUACAAUGAUGCUUGGCAUAGAAGAUUAUUAACCAUGUGGCUGAAAUUGUUGGAGACAAAUCAAAUGCCUAAAUGGCAAUUUGUUUGGAUACAGUAUGCAAUCAUAGUGGUUUGUUUUAAUAAGUUCUUAUUUGAUGGGAUUAUCAUGGAUGUAGGAUAAUGCUUGACUGCCAUUAGCAGAUUCUGAUAAUAAUUUUGCUUUGAUCAAAAUCUGAAUUUUUUUUUUAAUGAAUUUUAACUGUUCCUUUUUGCCCCUGGGAUUUUUUUUUUUGCUGGCUCUCCGUAAUUGCUUUCUACAUUUAUGUCAUAUAUGUUUUAACUUUUCAAUUCCCCAGACUAGAAACUUGCACAAUGUUCUCUGAAAGUUCUUUUUCUUCUUGUACCUGACUUGAUCAGAACUAAGGAUUACAGGCGAAGUUUAGUCUCUUAGUUUCAUUGGAGGAGUAUUGUUGAUUGCAUGUUGAUAUUGGAGUAUUUUGUGGUGAAAACCUUAUGGCAGAAGAAGUUAUUUGAGAAUUUGAGGUGCCCAAAAAGCACUACGAAACAAGAGUAUAGUUAGCUGUUCAAAGUAUAGGUACUAGAGUACUUUUGGAUCAAUGUAACUUUUUAUUGUAUAUCUUGUUUCCUCCAAACGUGAUUGAUAUUUACAUUACUAAUGUACUUUUGGAUCAAUAUAACUUUAGUUCUAUGUCUUAUUUCCUUUGGAUAAGAUUGAAAUUUACAUUCAUAGAGCC